AAGACAUCACACACACACACACACACACCAGCUCUCACUGAGAUUAAGCUAUAACUGAAGACAUCACACACACACACACACACACCAGCUCUCACUGAAAUUAAACUAUAACUGAAGACAUCACACACACACACCAGCUCUCACUGAAAUUAAGCUAUAACUGAAGACAUCACACACACACACACACACACACCAGCUCUCACUGAAAUUAAGCUAUAACUGAAGACAUCACACACACACACACACACCAGCUCUCACUGAAAUUAAGCUAUAACUGAAGACAUCACACACACACACACACACACCAGCUCUCACUGAAAUUAAACUAUAACUGAAGACAUCACACACACACACACACCAGCUCUCACUGAAAUUAAACUAUAACUGAAGACAAAUCCUGCAGGGUCACACACCAACUGCUGUUUGGGAAGUUCUUCAAUGAUUCCAACCUGGAUUCCUCUUACUUUACUUGGA
rnacentral:lncRNA from 1 species